AGAUCUCCUAAUUUCUUUUUACACAUGAAAGGAUCAACAGUACCUCUCUGUAUGAAUUUAAAUCCAAAUGAAACUGGAAGAUAUCAGUUCUUAUACAGUCCAAAAAAGCCACACAAAUCCCUUCAUGUAAUCUUUGAAAAACAAAUGAUUCAGAAGAAGAAUAGGGAUUACAUAAAAGCCGUGAGGUUAAGGGAAGGAACGGAAACACAGUUUAUGGAUUCUAAGAUUUUAAAUGUAUCGACUGCUACUUUGAAUUCGACGAAACUAUGGAAGGAGAUCAACAACAGGAGAACAAACGAUUUUUCGCUAUAUAAUCUUACGACUGUUAUCUCCCCUUCUAAAGACCCGUUAUUUGGUUUACAGCUGCAUCUUUAUAUAAAACAAAGCAACAACGCUUAUGCUACUGGACCAUUAAGUUGGUUUGUUGGAAUGAGAAUAAAAAACUUUGGGCUUGAAAUAGUUGUGCAACCGAAUGUAGGAAAACAGUUUACCAUCAGAAAUUUUAGACUACUUAAAUCUACGUCUGUAUCUUCAUUUUUAACAGACUCAUGUUGGUAUAUAAUCAACCCCGAAAAGGAAUUUCCACUUUGGGAAAGAUUAUUUCAGCAAAAAGAUGUCGAAACAUGGCCAUAAUUAUACGAAAUCAAUAUGAUGCUUUUUAAAAGUUCAGUUGCAUU